GAUGAACGCUGGCUACAGGCUUAACACAUGCAAGUCGAGGGGAAACGACGGGGAAGCUUGCUUCCCCGGGCGUCGACCGGCGCACGGGUGAGUAACGCGUAUCCAACCUGCCUCUGACUGAGGGAUAACCCGUCGAAAGUCGGCCUAAUACCUCAUGGUAUCGUCUGCGGGCAUCCAACGACGAUUAAAGAUUUCAUCGGUCAGGGAUGGGGAUGCGUCUGAUUAGCUUGUUGGCGGGGUAACGGCCCACCAAGGCUACGAUCAGUAGGGGUUCUGAGAGGAAGGUCCCCCACAUGGGAACUGAGACACGGGGCAAACUCCUACGGGAGGCAGCAGUGAGGAAUAUUGGUCAAGGGGCGAGAGCCUGAACCAGCCAAGUAGCGUGCAGGAAGACGGCCCGAUGGGUUGUAAACUGCUUUUAUGCGGGGAUAAAGUGAGGGACGGGUCCCUCAUUGCAGGUACCGCAUGAAUAAGGACCGGCUAAUUCCGUG
rnacentral:rRNA from 1 species